rnacentral:rRNA from 1 species
GACGAACGCUGGCGGCGUGCUUAACACAUGCAAGUCGAACGGAAAGGCCUCUUUCGGGGGGUACUCGAGUGGCGAACGGGUGAGUAACACGUGAGUAACCUGCCCUUGUCUUUGGGAUAACUUCAGGCAACUGGGGCUAAUACCGGAUAGAAGCUCCUGCUGCAUGGUGGGGGUUGGAAAGAUUCGGCGGUUGGGGGUGGACUCGCGGCUUAUCAGCUUGUUGGUGGGGUAGUGGCUUACCAAGGCUUUGACGGGUAGCCGGCCUGUGAGGGUGACCGGCCACAAUGGGGCUGAGAUAAGGCCCAGACUCCUACGGGAGGCAGCAGGGGGGAAUAUUGCACAAUGGGUGGAAGCCUGAUGCAGCAACGCCGUGUGCGGGAUGACGGCCUUCGGGGUGUAAACCGCUUUCGCUCAUGACGAAGCUUUGUGUGACGGUAGUGGGUAAAGAAGCACCGGCUAACUACGUG